rnacentral:tRNA from 1 species
GCUCAGCUCAGCUGGUUAGAGCAUGGUGUUGAUAAUGCCAAGGUUGCAGGUUCGAUCCCCAUAUAGGACAGCUGCA